rnacentral:sRNA from 1 species
GCAGUGCUGUGACAUCUCCUGCCUGCAUGAGCACAGCCAGGAUGCUUACUUGCUGGACCUUUCCUGGGCCUUCCUCCUCUUCUCCAGCAUCACCAGCUUCUGCCUUUGCAUAGCCCUAAUAAGCACCAUCCUCUUUACCGGCUCCAACCCAUCCAUGCUGGAUUUCUUCACUUUCAUCACCAGCAUCCUGACAGGAACCAGCAUCAUACUGGGUAUCCUGUUCUACCUGCUGCAGGCCCACAGGUACCUGCAGGAAGGCAUGACCUACCAGCUGGCACUCAGCUUCUACCUGACCUGGGCCAGUGUCUUCUCUUCCUGAUGACUGGCUUCUUGUCCUAUCUGAAUUACAUGUACUUCUGGUCUAUCCUGGCGCUCCAGCCCAUCCGGACCUAA